AUAAAUCCUUACAUGUCGUGUCAGAAGUCUUUCAUCUUCCCAAGAUGAUUAUUCAAAGGAUUUUGAAGAUCUGAAUAGGUUGGCCUUCCAUUUGCAACUUGAACUCUCACCUGCUAUGAAAAGUGUUUUUCUUUUGACUUUACAUCUUUACAUGGGUUUCCUUGGAUCAAACUGUCACUUAAAAUUUGACUUAAAAUGUAAUAAUAGCCAUCUAAAUUGAAAUACUUGUCCAUUCUUUGACAAUCUAUAAUGCUAUGAACAGAUAGCUAUUCAAUUAAAGCUGAUUAUUGUACAGCCUGUAAUAUAGGGAAAAAAAUAAAUAAUGUAAAGCUUUAUUUUGCCCAUUUUUCAUCUUAUCUGCUUACCAAAGAAUUUUUGAGUAUUUAUGAUCUGAAAUGUGAUAGUGGUUUUCAAAAUAGGGUAUUUUUUGAGAUCAAAAGUAUAUAUUCUCUAGCAGUUUAACUGAGUAGUACAUGGAAUUCUGAAUAUGUAGUUGGGAAUGUUCUGUUAUACUUCGACAAAUGUUUUAAUUUUAUUUUUCUGUGGCUUACAAUAAAGAAUGGCUGCGUCUUACUA